rnacentral:rRNA from 1 species
CAGAGGUCCCGAGCGUUGUUCGGAUUCGACUGGGCGUAAAAGGGUGCGUAGGUGGUGAGGUAAGUCGGAUGUGAAAUCUCCGGGCUCAACCCGGAAAUGGCAUUGGAAACUACCUUGCUGGAGGAUUUGAGGGGGAUUGGAAUACUUGGUGUAGCAGUGAAAUGCGUAGAUAUCAAGUGGAACACCAGUGGCGAAGGCGAAUCCCUGGAAAAUACCUGACACUGAGGCACGAAAGCUAGGGGAGCAAACAGGAUUAGAUACCCUGGUAGUCCUAGCCCUAAACGGUGCUUGCUUGCUGUAAGAGGAAUCGACCCCUCUUGUGGCGGAGCUAACGCGUUAAGCAAGCCGCCUGGGAAGUACGGUCGCAAGAUUA